AGUUUAGCCGGUGUGGUAUCUGGAGUACAGCAUCAACAUACCAGGCCGAGGUAUUUCCCAAAGUUACAUGAACUAAUCAAAGUGUGGAUUGUAGACACUGGGUCACCUGGCUGUUGAGUGCUUGUAGAGCACAGGUCACAGUUCACAGGUCACGAUUCCAGACUAGAUAAACAACAAACAAACAGAUGAUAACGAAAAGAUAGCUGGGGAACAAAGAGAGGAUGACCCUAUAUAACAGGAUUACAAACUGUGGUCAGGGAGAGCUGGACAUCAUUGGCAGUCCUCUCCCAGCAACUGCAGUGCUGUAUUGAUACUGGUUUUGUCUUUAUAAUAAACUCCUCUUAUACAAGCAAGCCAGUGUCACGAAGCCUCCUUCUGCAUCUACACAUCGAGGACAGCCCAGACACAACAAAUUGGCGC